rnacentral:rRNA from 1 species
GGAGCGUAGGCGGACUAUCAGUCAGUUGUGAAAGUCAUCGGCUCAACCGCUGAAUUGCAGUUGAAACUGGUAGUCUUGAGUGCACACGAGGAUGGUGGAAUUCGUAGUGUAGCGGUGAAAUGCUUAGAUAUUACGAAGAACUCCGAUUGCGAAGGCGGCUAUCUGGGGUGCAACUGACGCUGAGGCUCGAAGGUGUGGGUAUCAAACAGGAUUAGAUACCCUGGUAGUCCACACUGUAAACGAUGGAUACUCGCGGUCGGCGAUAUACAGUCGGUCACCAAGCGAAAGCGAUAAGUAUCCCACCUGGGGAGUACGCCGGCAACGGUGAAACUCAAAGGAAUUGACGGGGGCCCGCACAAGCGGAGGAACAUGUGGUUUAAUUCGAUGAUACGCGAGGAACCUUACCCGGGCUUGAACUGCAGAGGAAAGAUCCAGAGAUGGUGAUGCCCUUCGGGGUCUCUGUGGAGGUGCUGCAUGGUUGUCGUCAGCUCGUGCCGUGAGGUGUCGGCUUAAGUGCCAUAACGAGCGCAACCCCUGUCCUCGGUUGCCAUCAGGUAAUGCUGGGCACUCCGUGGAUACUGCCAUCGCAAGAUGUGAGGAAGGUGGGGAUGACGUCAAAUCAGCACGGCCCUUACGUCCGGGGCUACACACGUGUUACAAUGGGGGGUACAGAGGGUUGCUGUCCGGUGACGGUCGGCCAAUCCC